rnacentral:rRNA from 2 species
AAACCAACAGGGAUUGCCUCAGUAACGGCGAGUGAAGCGGCAAGAGCUCAAAUUUGAAAUCUGGAGCCUUUCAGCUUCCGAGUUGUAAUUUGAAGAGGGUGUUUCGGUUGCGGCCCUGGCCUAAGUUCCUUGGAACAGGACGUCAUGGAGGGUGAGAAUCCCGUACAUGGCUGAGGGCUUGCUUCUAUGUGAAACCCCUUCGAAGAGUCGAGUUGUUUGGGAAUGCAGCUCAAAAUGGGUGGUAAAUUUCAUCUAAAGCUAAAUAUUGGCGGGAGACCGAUAGCGCACAAGUAGAGUGAUCGAAAGAUGAAAAGCACUUUGAAAAGAGAGUUAAACAGUACGUGAAAUUGUUGAAAGGGAAGCGCUUGCAAUCAGACUCGCUUUCGGUUGAUCAACGUUCCUUUUGGUUCGUGCACUCUGCCGUUUGCGGGCCAGCAUCAGUUGGGGCGGUGGGACAAAGGCGGUGGGAAUGUGGCUCCCCUCGGGGAGUGUUAUAGCCCAUCGUGCCAUGCCACCAGUCCCGACUGAGGUCCGCGGUUCGCCUAGGAUGCUGGCUUAAUGGUUGUAAGCGACCCGUCUUGAAACACGGACCAAGGAGUCUAACAUCUACGCGAGUCUUUGGGUGUCAAACCCAUGGGCGCAAUGAAAGUGAACGGAGGUGGGAGUCCUCGGACGCACCAUCGACCGAUCCUGAUGUUCUCGGAUGGAUUUGAGUAUGAGCGUAGCUGUUGGGACCCGAAAGAUGGUGAACUAUGCCUGAAUAGGGUGAAGCCAGAGGAAACUCUGGUGGAGGCUCGCAGCGGUUCUGACGUGCAAAUCGAUCGUCAAAUUUGGGUAUAGGGGCGAAAGACUAAUCGAACCAUCUAGUAGCU